AGGGGUGUGGCUCAGUUGGUAGAGUGCUUGCCUGGCAUGCAUGAGGCUCUGAGUUUGAUCCCUGGCACCAGUA
rnacentral:tRNA from 1 species